GUGUCGUGAGAUGUUGGGUUAAGUCCCGCAACGAGCGCAACCCCUGUGUCCUGUUGCCACUUCCGAGAGAUCGGGAAGCACUCUGGACAGACUGCCUCGCUUCAACGAGGAGGAAGGUGGGGAUGACGUCAAGUCAGUAUGGCCCUUACGGCCAGGGCUGCACACGUACUACAAUGCCCGGUACAAAGGGAAGCAAGAGCGUAAGCUGGAGCAAAUCCCCCAAAACCGGGCCCAGUUCAGAUUGUCGUCUGCAACUCGACGGCAUGAAGCUGGAAUCGCUAGUAAUGGCGCAUCAGCUACGGCGCCGUGAAUACGUUCCCAGGCCUUGUACACACCGCCCGUCACAUCAUGAAAGCCGGUUGCACCCGAAGCCGCCCCUCAAAAGGUGUCGAAGGUAUGACUGGUUAUUGGGAUGAAGUCGUAACAAGGUAGCCGUAGGGGAACCUGCGGCUGGAUCA
rnacentral:rRNA from 1 species